rnacentral:lncRNA from 1 species
UCCUCCUUCCCGCUUCAGCAGGUCCAGGCUCUGCGCCAGUGCAUCCUUCUCCAAGAGUGCGCUGCCUGGGCCCGCUUGCCCUGGAGUUAACUUCAGCAGUCAACGGAGAGAAGAGUGGAAACCUUACUGGAUGCGGACAGGAGAGCCAGUUACUGAAAGCAGAUAUAACGCGGAUCCUGUAAAGAGUGGUGUGUAUCCAAAAAAAAAAAAUCUGUACAAUGUAUUUUAAAACUUGUGUGCACAAAACUGAAGAUUUUCUUUUUUACCUAGUCCAAAUGCCGUCCUAGCCUGAGUCCUGCUCUUUAUAAAAAUAAAAUAAAAAGAAUUUGAAGCUU